GAUGAACGCUGGCGGCGUGCUUAACACAUGCAAGUCGAGCGAAGCACUUUACUUGGAUUUCUUCGGAAUGACGAUUUUUGUGACUGAGCGGCGGACGGGUGAGUAACGCAUGGGUAACCUGCCUCAUACAGGGGUAUAACAGUAAGUAAUGACUGCUAAUACCGCAUACGACCACAGCACCGCUUGGUUCAGGGGCAAAAACUUCUGUGGUAUGCUAUGGACCCGCGUCUGAUUAGCUAGUUGGUGGGGUAACGGCCGACCAAGGCAACGAUCAGUAGCGGGCCGGAGAGGGCGACCGGCCACAUUGGGACUGAGACACGGCCCAAACUCCUACGGGAGGCAGCAGUGGGGAAUAUUGCACAAUGGGGGAAACCCUGAUGCAGCGACGCCGCGUGAAGGAAGAAGUAUUUCGGUAUGCAAACUUCUAUCAGCAGGGAAGAAAAUGACGGUACCUGACUAAGAAGCCCCGGCUAACUACGUGCCAGCCGCCGCGGUAA
rnacentral:rRNA from 1 species